CAAGGUUCAGGAAGAAGACAAAAGUGUCAGAGAUGGGCUGAAUGUGGAGGCAGAUUCAUGGCUCAGGAAUAUACCAUUUGACCAAAACGAGUGGAAGAAUUGGAUCAAAGGCCUAAAACACACCAGCUUCUGCAUUUCCAGGCUGUAAUCACUGUCGAAGACGAGGCGUGGAUGGUAUAUUUGUAAAUGUGUAAUAGAAUGGUUAAAGCUGACUCCACAUCCUAAGGGACCAACACAAGCCAUCAAGUUAAAUGAUGUCCCUGAUAGCUCCGUGGAUCAAUAGUUAUAUAGGCCUAUUCCUCAUCUGAGCUCUGUCAGGGCCCAAAUUAUACACUGUACAUGAAAACCACCUCCUGGAUUUACUGCUUCUGCACCCCCCAGCCAUGGCAGGUGGCUUAUCGCCCUGCAUUUAUUUCUUUUAAGCUUUAACUAAGUCUUCGCUCCCGAUUUUUCGACAUUUCCAAAGUGGUGGAGCAGCAAUUAGUCAAGUUCUCCUUCUACAAAACAGCAAGGAUUUCCUUGACUUUUAAAGAGACUCUUUAAUGUCCUAUUUCUCUCACAGAGUUAUGAAAAAUCUUCAAGUUGAAGGACAUACUUUUGGCAGAGAUUAUAAUAGUAUGAGGAAGCAGACAAGAACUUGACCAUCUACAGUAUUUUUGAUGCCCGUAGGAUAAUCCGCUAGACUCUGGACCAUCAGCAUUUGUAGGGAGUGGCUGAUGAACUGAAACCUCUAGUUCUCCUUCUGAUGCUCAGGUGCUGGGUAAGUUGCCUCACUUCUCCAUGCCUUGGUCUUCUCUCUCUUAAAUGGGAAUGAUUCCACUUCCCGACAUUACCUCAUGGUGAGGAUAUUAACUUCAAUCAAAUAGAGUACCAGUGAAAACACUUCAUACUCUUGGGAAAGAAGGUGUCCUAUAAAUUCCAGGUUUUAUUAUUAUUUAAGAUUUUUAUAUCUCAGAUUGAUCUGAUCUCAUGAAUCACUUUAUAACAAAGUGGACUUGAACCAUAUUGAACUGUUUUUGAGUUUCUUAAUCUCCCAAUUGUGUCAGACGUCUAGAAUUAUAGCCCUCUGAAAUAAUGUGUGAAACGUGACUUUAAGAUAUGGAGACCGACUCUUGUCUGUGGUUAAAAGACAAUAUCGCAUGGCUUUCUAAUCAGUGUCCAGGGCAAAAAGGCUCAUGGAGGUCAGCCUGGUAACCAGAUUAAUGAGUUGUCUUACUUCUAUGAAUAGUGAUCUUCAAAUUUGUCUCAUUUAACCCAUCUGUCUUAUCUCCUUGUGUCUGUUCUUGGGACAUUUCUGUUUAGUGAAUGACAAUAAUAUCCACUACUUUAAUUAUUUUUAAAAAUAAAUAAACAAGAGACCCUG